rnacentral:rRNA from 1 species
UACGGAGGGUGCAAGCAUUAAUCGGAAUUAUUGGGCGUAAAGGGUGCGUAGGUGGCACGUUAAGUCAGUUGUGAAAUCCCCGGGCUCAACCCGGGAACUGCUUCUGAUACUGGCGUGCUUGAGGCCAGUAGGGGUCGCUAGAACUGACGGUGGAGCGGUGAAAUGCGUAGAUAUCGUCAGGAAUGCCGGUGGUGAAGACGGGUGACUGGGCUGGUUCUGACACUGAGGCACGAAAGCGUGGGGAGCGAACGGG